CAAGGAUCGAUAAGUAUGUAGCCGAGAAGUGACAAAAUAAACAUACGCACGUAUGGGUCGGCAAGUUUAAAGAUGAGACCUUAACACAAACUUAGUUUGUUAUUCAGAGAUAGCCGAUAUGAAUCUUGGAGGAACGUGGGAUGGCCAACACCAACUGGACAAGAUAUGGCAUCCAAAUACCAGAACAGAUUUCAUAACAGCAGCCUUGACUUUGAGCCCACGUUCCCGAAUGCAAGUAUUAGAUACGUCUCCACCUGACCUUUCUACAUACUAAAUUUGGGCGUUUUUGUUGGUAAUAAACUAGUUUCGGUUUUAUGUUGGUUUCGCGAGCGGUGUCAUUGCUGUGACAGUUUCAAACAAAAUAAAAACCACUUUCAUCUUUUGUUUUACGAAACCGAAACUGUCGAACUAUCGCAAAACCCACCGGAGUCGAUUUCGUUCCAUCCGAAAACUAGCUCACUUGAAAAAAAACCCACAAACAUGGCGGAGAGUGAUUCACCAGGUGUGUUGGAAUACCAUCAAGUUUAAACAGGCAAACGACUAUCUGCGGUAAUAUUAUUUUGAAUAUAUAUAGGAAUAAUGGCUAUAUGCGGAAGCUCCAUCAUGUUGUUGAAGCUGUACACAAAACCAUGCGUUUGCUACAUUAAGCCAAGCUUUCGAAACAGGUUUUCAAACCGCCGACACACUCGGACGCGACACCCUCGGACGCGACACCCUCGGAACCAACACUGAAACUAGUGUGGUAUGAACAGAAACACCCCAAGUUUCAUUACUUAACUUGAUAUCAAGGUAUUGAGCUGAAACCGUUUAUGUUUAAAAGUGACUAACUUUGACCCCACAUAUCCUUAGUGCAAUCUCAAGCUACGUCUAAUUUAACGAGUUGGACAAAAUAUUUGGACUGUCCAUUCCUCAAUUAUUGGACAAUUAGUAGAAAUAAAGUACGAAUCGCAGUCCAAUAACCCGUAUUAUACUAUAGAGUACAAAAAGAACAUGGAUGCCGUCAAAAACAUGUUUUAAAACCGAUGAUUACAUUGGUAUAAAUAUAACACACUUGAAACCAUUAACGCUGUAUUUUUUAUUUGUCUCCUGCCGACUUUACACUAUUUUUUUUGUCGUAGAGUGGAUUUAUUUUCGUAAUUUCCUAUUACAUGUUCAUUUUUAAGUGAACAUGUUAAAGUUUGAACUUUUUUUUAAACUUUCUACAAAAGUGAUAUAUCCUGAUACAGGUCGGUUUGGUACAGAAUCCCGGUUAUCAAAAAAAAAAAAUGGGAAAAAGGAAAGUUAUGUCUUUCUAUCAACUCUAUAGUUUUGAAGAUGUAAGUGGAA